AUUGAACGCUGGCGGCAGGCUUAACACAUGCAAGUCGAGCGGAGAUGAGGUGCUUGCACCUUAUCUUAGCGGCGGACGGGUGAGUAAUGCUUAGGAAUCUGCCUAUUAGUGGGGGACAACAUUCCGAAAGGAAUGCUAAUACCGCAUACGCCCUACGGGGGAAAGCAGGGGAUCUUCGGACCUUGCGCUAAUAGAUGAGCCUAAGUCGGAUUAGCUAGUUGGUGGGGUAAAGGCCUACCAAGGCGACGAUCUGUAGCGGGUCUGAGAGGAUGAUCCGCCACACUGGGACUGAAACACGGCCCAGACUACUACGGGAGGCAGCAGUGGGGAAUAUUGGACAAUGGGCGGAAGCCUGAUCCAGCCAUGCCGCGUGUGUGAAGAAGGCCUUUUGGUUGUAAAGCACUUUAAGCGAGGAGGAGGCUACCUGGAUUAAUACUCUAGGAUAGUGGACGUUACUCGCAGAAUAAGCACCGGCUAACUCUGUGCCAGCCGCCGCGGUAACAC
rnacentral:rRNA from 1 species